rnacentral:rRNA from 1 species
UACAGAGGUCUCAAGCGUUGUUCGGAUUCAUUGGGCGUAAAGGGUGCGUAGGCGGCGAGGUAAGUCUGGUGUGAAAUCCUGGGGCUCAACCCCAGAAUGGCACUGGAUACUGCCUUGCUAGAGGACUGGAGAGGAGAUUGGAAUUCACGGUGUAGCAGUGAAAUGCGUAGAUAUCGUGAGGAAGACCAGUGGCGAAGGCGAAUCUCUGGACAGAUCCUGACGCUGAGGCACGAAGGCUAGGGGAGCAAACGGG